GAGGGUGGGAGCGCCUCGGUGCUGGAUGGACAGUGGAGGCAGGCAGCAGGAUGUGCUUGCUGGGCUGGGAGAGGUAAUCUGGAAGCAGCUGUCCCCCUUCCUCGAGCUAGCCUGCAGCCUGCCCCCAGCACAGCUCUCGCCUGGCACCAGCUUGGCGCUGGAGCUCCAGGUGAAUGGGGGGUGCUGAGGGCUGGGUGAAUCCAACCACUUCCGUUAGGGGCCUGAAUGGGAGCUGAGCUCUUGUGACAAUCAGGCCAACAAGGCCUGCACCCCCAUGGGUGUGGCCUACACCACGCCCAGGCCGCGGCCCCGUGGGUGCGACGUACACCACACCCAGGCUGCCGGCCCCACGGUGCACGUAUACCACGCCCAGGCCGCGGUCCCAUGGGGGUGGCGUAUACCACGCCCAGGCCGCGGUCCCGUGGGUGCAGCGUACACCACGCCCAGGCCGCAGCUCCGUGGGUGAAGUAUAUACCACGCCCAGGCUAUGGCCCUGUGGGUGAAGCAUAUACCACGCACAGGCUGCGGCCCCGUGGGUGAAGCAUAUACCAUGCCCAGGCUGCUGGCCCGGUUAGCCUGCACUUGGACGGAUCCUGCCCACGCGCUGCCCAGGCCAGCUUAAAAUGGCAGCCAAAGCUCUGGGAAGAUGGUGACUGCUCAGCAGGGCUCCUGCCCUGUCCGCUGCGGAGCCUGGGCCCCGCCAGCCAGGCCCCUGCUUUCCCAAGGGUGGCUGGGGGGCCAGGUCCCCGCCUUGGGGAGUUUGACAAGGGAGCAGAGCCAGGCCUGGGGGAAGAGGGGAGGGGACCGUGGUGACGUGGAGGGGGACAGGACAGCUGUGAUGGGCUCCGUGGGAAGGGGUGAGCGUCUCUAACUGCCCCCGGGGGGAGCCGGGCCUGCAGGUCGCCCGCUCCCCACCACUGUAAAUACGGUGUGCGAGGCAUGCAGCCCUCAAGGAGCCGACCCACUGCAAAGCGAGUGGGCCAGUACGAUGCAAGUUCUCUUGUGACCUGUGCCCCCCUGUGACCUUCCUCCUCUUAACCUGUGCAGGCCAUGCAUGCUACAGCAGUAACCUUCUCUGUAUAACUCUGGAGUUCCCCCUGCCAAUAAAGUUCUGUUUACAAGACUGGA